ensembl:lncRNA
UUUACAUCUUUUUGUGGUAGUUUUGCAUCUAGUUUUGGUCUUCUUACAUGUUGUUUUGUUUCAUUUUGGUGUUUUUACAUCUUUUUGUGGGUGUUUUCCAUCCAAUUUUGUAUGGAAAUUUAAUGUCUUUUGGAGGUUUAUUGCUUAAUAAUUUGGCUGUUUUACAUCCUUUAUGUCACAUUUUGGUAGUUUUACAUGUUUGUGGUAGUUAUGCAUCACAUUGUGGUCGUUUUAUGUCACCUGGGUCACAUUUUGAUCAUUUUUACAGAAGAGAAUCAUCUGUAAAACAUUUCUCAGGAGAUCGGUGGCAGUAAGAUGAGUGAAUGUCAAGAGACAAACAGGAGAGAGAACGAACACUAAGUAUUCCUGAUUUAAAGCAGAGUUUUGGGUAAUUUUAGAAUUUAUUGGCCAGAUUUCAUUAAUCUGUGCAGAUUUCUGUGAAUGUGAUGUUAUGUUUACUUUUAUUUCGAGGUGAAACCGAUGGUGUAAAAUGCUGGAAAAAGGCUUUGUGUGAUUUUCAAUGAGGCAAAUCCGAAGACGCCUCUGAUUCCAAGCAGCUGCUGAAAGACGCUGAUCAGCAGAAGAAGCUCAAAGUUCAGAUGCAUAAAGUCAGACGAGUCUCUUGAGCUGCUUCAGUCUCGACCAGCAGGAAUGUGGUCAGAAGUCGGAGUCGUCUGUGGCCGAGUUAUCGGCGGCGAGGAUUCCUGUUGGCUCUGGCGGCGGCUCGUGUCCAUCCUGCUGCUGCUGCUGCUGCUGCUCCCUCUUCUUCUUCUUGUUGUGGUUCUUGACAUGCACGCUCAACCCCCUCUCAGUCAUUUCGUAGAUCUGACACUUGGCGCAGUAGUAUGGCGACACCCCGACGUGCCGGAACUGGUCUGCGAGGUACGAUGCCAGCGUCUUGAAGCCCUUGCUGCAGACGUGGCAGCGCGGGACGACGCCCGGGUGCUCCUUCUCCAGGUGCUUCCUCAGACCCCACCUGGAGCCACUGAACGCCUCCAGACCGCCGGCCGGGCACACGUGGCAAGUGAAGACGGCGUCCUGGUUGGCGUGGCGACGGGUGUGGGCGUCCAGCUCCACCUGCGUGCGGACCGACUGCUGGCAGGACGUGCAGAAGAACGUCUUCUUGCCCUCCAUGUGGUGCGUCUGCUUCAGGUGCACGGCGAGGCCCGACGCCCUCUUGAAGGUCUUGCCGGGCGGCGGACACAUGGUGCACACCAGCUGCCUCUGCCCCGAGUUCAUGACAUCGCUGUAGUCCUCACCCAGCUCCAGGACGCUCUUGUUGCUUACCAGCUCCUCCCUCCUCGCCUCCUCCAGCUUCCUCUUCUGCUCUAGCCUCGGCCUCAUCAGUCUGGACGGUGGCGGAUCUGCGCUCCUCUCUCGGACCACCGGCCGCUUCACAACCGGCUUCUUGGCGGGAAGCGAGCGGUCGACGGACACGGUGAACUGGUAGCUCUCUCCCUCCUCUUCGGGGUUGGAGUACUCGAUGACGUAGACGCCCUCCUCCUCCUCCUCUACCACCUCCUCCUCGGCGGGCAGCGAAUACUCCAUCUCGUAGUACUCGGUCACGUUGCUCCUCGCCUUCCCGCCCAUGUGCGACUGCUCCCCUGCGAUGUGCGUGUCGUCGAUCCUCACCACGGUGAUCUGGUCCAUGCUGCCGGCAGCCUCCCAGUUUCCGUUUCCGGCCAUGACCGAGGACGACGACGCUUUUCCUGCAGCUCCACCUCGAAGAUGUUCAGAAGAUGUCUGGAACAAGAAAAUAAAUAUAAAUGCAUGUUUUAUUACAGAAAAAAACACACAAAAAUACCCUUUAACCCUUUUGCUGUAUUCAUUGAUUGGCACCAAAAAAUAUUUUUAAAAAAAUCUAAUAAAAAAAAUCCAAAAAUUCAGCAAAAAAAUCCCCCAAAUUUCUGAAAAUUUGCAAAACCUUCAGGAAGAAAAUUCCAAUAAUUCCUUGAAAGUUUCCCUUAAAAGUUUCAUUUGAAAAAAAUCCCUCCAAUUUGGCAAGAAAAUUCUUGUAAAUAUUUUCAAAAAAUGAGUAAAAAUCUUCCAAAAAAAUCCUAAAAAUAUCUAAAGUGAUUCCAUAUAUAUCAGUAAAACUUCUAUUUUCUUUAAGAACAUUCACAAUUUGCGAGAAAAAUAUGUAUAUUAAGGACAACUGAUAUUUUACAGACUUUCCUGUUUCCCAAAUAACAGAUACGAGUCCAAACACAAAAAAAGACUUAAAAAAACAAAAAAUAUUUGUUCUCUGACUGUAAAUUCCUCCUGUUUUUAUUGUAUUUAAAACUAUCAAAACACACAGGCUGCAAUUUAGCAUCAACAAUACGCAGCCUGUGUGACGCAGGAUUUAAACUGUCAACAGUUUGUUUGUUUGAUAAUUUAUCUAAAGGUGAUUCCUACUUAAAGAUGUAAACAAACAGCAGAUGUGUCCAUUAAAUGUAAAUUUUAAGGUUACUUCAUUUGCAUAUUGUUUGACUCACUGACUGUAAUACAUGUUUUAGCCUUAACUGCAGGUUCUGUAAUCUAAUUAGUUAUUUAAAUUCAUUUCAUUUAUGCAGGUGCUUCUGUUUUUUUUAAUGUACAGUUACUAAAACCUUCAAAUUUCUUCAUUAUUGUCAAUAUUGUUGUUUUUGCACAUAUAUAGGUCAAGUAUUCUCUCUCAUUUUUGGAAUAAACUGAUGUAUUUAAUAAUUUAUCGAGGUUUAUUUUUCUUUAAU